UCUUCCUACUGAAAUCAAAUUUCUAGAUAAUUCCGAAAUGUAUCUAACUUCCUUUAACAUGUACACAAAGCCUGUGUUAAAUUUUAUCUUUAUAUCUACAAUUCCAGCAAUUGUAUAGGCGAAAUUAUCACACAGAACUACUUGCCCAUCAUUAGAUUCUUGCAAGUUUUCAAACCAGUUCUUUUCAAAUGUCACAUGAAAAGACGCACCAGAAUCUACUAUCCACUCAUGCAUGUGAGAAUUAGUAGUUAGAUUUAAUUCAGUAGUGUAUACGACUGGACUAGUGAUCACAUAGACUUCACUGUUUUCGGUAUCGGAGGUAGAGGAUAGCACAUUUACCUCAUUUCUUUCCUUAACCUUUUGUUUUCCCUUUUCUUUAUGACAGUCUUUCAUAAAAUGCCCUGUGCCUCCACAGCCAUAGCAUUUUCUAGCCUUAGUUCUAGACUUUGAUCUAGGUCUACCAUUCCCCUUCUUUUUCCAACUAUUACUACUUGAUUCGCCACUACUUUGGUAUCCAUCAUGACUGGCUUGCCUAAAUUGAGUUCUACCCCGCAUCAUAUGCAACUCUCCACUCCUCCUAUCCUAUUUUUCAGCCCUCAUUUCCACCUCCUUACUUCUAAGAGAAUCUACGACAAUUUCAGGUGUUAACGUGUCCCUACCAUACUUAAUGGAAUUUUUAACUUCUUUAUAAGAGUCCUGGAUUGAAUUGAGCAAGAUAAUGGCCUUAUAGGUUUUAGACACGGCUUCGUCACAAUUGACAAUAUCUUGUACCAAUUUGUUAAAUACAUCUAAAUUGUCGUCGAGAUCCUUUGAAGGAUCCAUUUUAAAGCUUAAGAAUCGUUCGAGUAGGUAGAGUUUAUUCGGUGUAGAUUUAAGCAAGUAUAAGUCUUCUAGUCUUUUCCAAAGUUCUUUGGUGAUUUUUAGUUUUCCCACUUUUCUUAAGACAGCGUCAGACAAGUGUAAUAUUAUUGAGGUAUAGGCAAGCUCAUUGGCUUCCUCUUUUUGUUCUUUUGAGAUGUCAGGUGCAAAAUUGCCUUCGAUGGCUUUUAACACCUUUU
rnacentral:lncRNA from 1 species